rnacentral:lncRNA from 1 species
CGGGAUUAAAAAACAAACACGCCUUCCCCUAGUUCAACUAACGGAUGCAUAAAACAAUAAUUUCGGACCAAAUUGCCCCAAGUCUCGUUAUCUUUUCAGUCCGCUAGCGUACGAGCACCUUCAAUUCCUAAAUCAAACCCUCCCUCCUGCUGCGAUUUCGAAAACCAAACCCUCCCUCCUGCAACCAUCCCUCCUGCUGCAACCAUCCCUCCUGCAUGCAACCCUCCCUCCUGCUACGAUUUCGAGUCCCUAAACCAAAUCCUCCGGCUGCGAUUUCGAAAACCAAACUGCGAUUUCGAGAACCCUCCCUCCUGCUGCGAUUGACCAGGUAUUUUUGCUUCUUAUUCAGUGCUCAUUACUUUGAUCUGCAUUAUAUUUUGGAACAAACUCUCUAGGUUUAUCCUCUUCUGAACCAAAUCUCGAGUCAUAACAUAAAUCUUCCUUUCUUCCUAGAUUCUGUUUUUCAGCAGUGUGGCUCGUCACCAAAGGACGCUUAUGCGUUUGACCAACCAAAGUCUCGUCUGAUAUAAUCAGAACAAAGCUAUCACCUGGAAGAAGUGAAGUGAAAGAUAUACUUUGAAUUUAAUAAAAAAGAAUAAUUAAAUAAAUAAUAUGCUAUAUACAAGAAGAAUUAGCUAAGAAACAUAGCAGAAUAAAGUUGUUCCCAUCACAUUUAAAGUAAAUCAAUAAAUUUAGAAUUGUUCAAUCAAUGGGUUUUACUGAAUUGCAAAAUUAGACCAAUGUACUAAAGUAUCCUUUAUUUCCGGAAUUGCAAAAUUGGAAAAAGAUGUCCUAAUCUUUUCAGGAAAGCUGUUAAUUCAGGGAAAAGGUGAGCAGUGUUAAUUCAGUUGGAGUGAAACAGUGUUUGGCAUGUUCAAGGUGAGCAGUUCUAUUUCUUUCUUUGUAUUUUCUACCUUUCACCUUUGAUGUGCAGUUCUAUUAAUGAUGCUUACAUGAUAAUUUUAAAAGUAGAGGAGCAUGAAAUGAUGAUCGGAAGCCAAAGAGUGAUAGCUUUUAGUUUUUAAUUGAGGUCAUGCAGCAUACUUUAUUACUUGUAAUCUGUGGUAGAGCUGUUAUUUCUAAUUUAAUUACAUGAUAAAAACACUAGCAGAAGUUCUAGUACAGAGGCACCUAGACAGAAUCAUUGACUCACUAAACCCCCUUGUAUCUUUUCAAUGGUCCAAAAUUAUUAAAGUCGAGUAGAUAGUUAGUCUUAAGAAGAGCAAGCUCCUAAGAAUGUCUUGAUUGUACAUAAUCCUUGAAGUGUAUAAUAUAUGGUCUGUUAAUGUUCUUUUUUUUGGAUACUUUUGUUAUCUUCUGCAUUGAAACAAUUUCAUGCUGUUCAGCUUCAUGAAACUUGGGAGAUCCUGCGCAACCAUAGAAGUAGGAAACUCCUGUAUGUGUUUUUUGAGCUAUUCAUGUCAUUUUAUAUUUAGUGCUACUUCAUUCGUUCAGAGCCUUCAUCUUGGUUGAGACUUGAGAGCACUUCUGAACAUUAAACAACUGUACGAGUGUGCUAUUGAGUGCUUCUGUUUUUCCAGUAGCUAGUAUUUCUGUGUUUUUCUUGGUUUCAAUUCUUUUCAGGACUUGCUCUUUAUGACUAAGCUAUUCUGUUAAGCAGUGAUAGUAACUGGUUUUUUGCUUUUCCAUUCCAAUUACUUCUUUCAUUCUUUGUCUUUUCGUGCAGAAAUUGGUUCUUGCUGUAGGUCUGUUUACUGGCUCCAUUGUUUUGAUGCGGAAUUAUGGUGAUCUCAUGGCCAUUUGAAGACACAUGAUGGGCCUUGACGAUUACUCGUAUUUUCUUUUCUCAAAAUGAGUAGGCGCUUACAUAAAAUAAUUGGGUUUUGUUAAAGGAUGACCUCUUUUGUUUAGCAUCAGUCAGGAGGACAUCUUGUAGUUUAAUAACCUUUUUUGGGAUCAUAAAAUGUAUUUGUGUUCAAAGUGAUGAAUUAUCUUUAUUUUCAUCAUGUCAUAGUCAUUGGCUUUUCAGAUUGCUUUGUUAUCCUGUGAAUUGGUUCUCAAUUCUUUCAGUAGUUGGCAGCUUUGAUGGG